rnacentral:lncRNA from 1 species
UCACUUUUCUCUGAAUUAUCUUUAAACUGUCCCAAACACUAGACUCAGUACUAUUCAGAAUGUUCUUUGAAAAUAAGUUUGGGGGAGUUGAAAAGAAGUAUCAAAUGCUCAAAAAAAUGUAGUACAUACAGUAAAAUGCUCGUGAUAAAAAAAGAGAAAAGAAAAGAAAAGAAACAGAAUAAAAAAAGAGAGAGAGCAUAUGUACUUGAAAGAAAAUAGAUGUACAAAAGAGCAUGUGAAAGCAAAGUAAGUUGGUGCAUUGAAGGUAAUUAUUUCGAAGAUCUGAUUAAAGUUGAGUCUAGGGUUUUUAGCCUAAAUUUAUCUAUCUUUUACCUAC